AGGUCUGGGCAUUGGGCAGUUUCCCGCCUCCCAGCCCCGCGCACUGAACAGACCGUGACCAGAACUGCGAACAAGGCGCGGAGGGAAGCUCUUAAAGGAGGCCAAAGCGGCCGGGCGCUGUGGCUCACACCUGUAACCCCAGCCUGUAAGCCUAGCUACUCGGGAGGCCGAGGCAGAAGGAGCGCUUGAAGCCAGGAGUUGGAAGCUGCAGUAAUCCGUGAUCGGACCGCCGCACUCUAGCCUGGGCAACAUAACGUCCUUUAAAAAAAAAAAAAAAAACAGAGGCCAAAACGGGUAGCAGUGGUGCCCGGGCACCAAGGAUGGAAGGCCUCUCUGAGGAGGUGAUGCCGAGCUGAAGCUGGGAAGCGGAUGUGAGGGAAGAGUUCCAGGCAGAGGGAAGGCAAAUGCAGAGAUCCUCAGGCAGGAACACUGAACUGUUCUCCGUAUUUGAGGAGCUGAGGGCGUGUCAGUGGUGGCCGCAGCAGCUGAGCAAAGGUCUUAGAAUCCCAGCCAAUGUCGUGGGACCUAGCACCCAAUCCGAAAAGAAAGAAGAAUAGAUAGGAACCCACUGUUGACAAGAAGGUGCACUGAGAAGUGUUUUUAUCUGACCCGAUCUGCAUCCAGUUUAGAAGCCGAUACAUCAGGGAUUUAACAAUCUGCCUUAAUGUCUAGCAAGGGGGGUUGCUGGAGGGAAAACACAGAGUCAGAGUUCUAUCUUCAGCCCUGCCAGCAGGUCCCUGGGAGAUGCUAGACGAGUGACUUUUCUCUGGGCGUGGUUGGUGUAAGGGAUGCACACGCAGGAGGAAGGUCGGAGUGUAAAUGUGUGACGUGGGCCCGUUACUGGGUAUAAAUGGGCCUGUAGUGACCGGGAGCUCAUGUUCUACCAAAGGGGUUGCCAAUUUUCUGAUUUCGAGUGUGGCGGUGUAAAAGAGAAAAGCAACUGCUGCCAGCUGGGAGCUAGUUUGCACCCUCACUCCAGAAGCCUUGAUGUUGCUAGGAGCUGGCCUGGCACCAACAGCGCGGCCAUGGUGGUGUCCUGUUGAGCAAAAUAAUUUCACAAAAAACAUCAGACAAGGUCACUCUCUGACUGAUGAUCUAGAAAAAGACCAUUCCAUAAUAAAGCCUCAAUACAGAAACAAGAACAUUGUCCAAACCACAAAAAUUACCAACACAAUCCUCUCUCCCACAGCGCUGGAGUGCAGUGAUGCAAUCUUGGCUCACCGCAACCUCCACCUCCAGGUUCAAGCGAUUCUCCUGCCUCAGCUUCCAGAGUAUCUGGGAUUACAGGCACCCACCAUCAUGCCCAGAUCAUUUCUGUAUUUUUAGUAGAGACGGGGAUUCACCAAGUUGCCCAGGUGCUUCCUGGUGGUCCUUGGUUGGAGGGUACUAUCAGAAAUGGAGGAGCAACAAAGAUUCAGCUGAAGCCCUCACUGCCUGGGACUGGGACCCUUGACUCGUCAUUGUAUGCACACCUGAAACUGCUUAUGUCGCUGAGGUGCCAACCUGCUGAUGGUUGGAAGCUAAUUGAGUUCUGAUAUUGUGUUGAUACCCUUAAGCAUUGGAUUUACUUUUUAUUUUAAUUAAUUAAUUAAUUAAUUUUUGAGACGGAGUUUCGCUCUUGUUGCCCAGGCUGAAGUGCAAUGGCGCGAUCUCGGCUCACCGCAACCUCCGCCUCCUGGGUUCAAGCAAUUCUUCUGCCUCAGCCUCUUGAGUAGCUGGGAUUACAGGCAUGCACCACCACACCUGGCUAAUUUUAUAUUUGUAGUAGAGACAGUUUCUCCAUGUUUGUCAGGCUGGUCUCAAACUCCUGACCUCAGGUGAUCCACCCGCCUCGGCCUCCCAAAGUGCUAGGAUUACAGGUGUGAGCCACCAUGCCUGGCCAUAUUUUUUAUUUUUCAUUUUUUACUUUUUGAGAUAGGGUCUCACUCUGUUGACCAGGCUGGAGUGCAGUGGUACGACUCAGCUCACUGCAACCUCUGCUUCCCAGCUCAAGUGAUUCUCCAGUCUCAGCCUCCUGAGUAGCUGGCACUAAAAUUAACCAAUGCCGGUUAAUUUUUUUUUUUUUUUUUUUUUUUUGGCGGGGGACAGAGUCUCGCUCUGUCUCCCAGAGUGGAGUGCAGUGGCGCUAUCUCUGCUCCCUGCAAGCUCUGCCUCCCGGGUUCAAGCAAUUCUCCUGCCUCAGCCUUCUGAGUAGCUGGGAUUACAGGCAUGCGCCACCACACCUGGCUAAGUUUUGUAUUUUUAGUAAAGAUGGGGUUUCGCCAUGUUGGUCAGGCUGGUCUCAAACUCCUGACCCCAUGAUCUGCUCGCCUUGGCCUCCCAAAGUGCUGGGAUUACAGGCAUGAGCCACCACACCCAGGAAUGCCGGUUAAGUUUUAUAUAUAUAUUUUUUUGUAGAGAUAGGGUUUCACUAUGUUACCCAGGCUGGUCUCAAACUCCUGAGCUCAAAGCAAUCCUCCCACCUUGGUUUCCCAAAGUGCUGGGAUUAUAGAUGUGAGCCACCAUGCCCUGCCAAGCAUUGGGUUUAUUUGGUUUUUCAGUUUUUUUACUCCUGGAAUAAGGCCCCCAUACUGGAUUUUUGGUUAUCUGAUCAGAUAUUUAUUUUGUCCUUGGUGCAAUUGUUUUCUGUCCUUCUACACUCAUUCCUAUGGUGUUUUCUUGUCUAGUAUUUUGAAUAUUGUUUGUCUAUAAGAGGCAAAGUCGAUAUAAAAAGGAUGGAUGUAGGCUGGGCGCGGUGGCUCAGGCCUGUAAUCCCAGCAACUUUGGGAGGCUGAGGUGGGUGGAUCACCUGAGAUCAGGAGUUCAAGACCAGCCUGGCCAAAAUGGUGAAACCCCGACUACUAAAAAUGCAAAAAAUUAGCUGGGUGUGGUGGCAGGUGCCUGUAAUCCCAGCUACUUGGGAGGCCAAGGCAGGAGAAUCGCUUGAACUCGGGAGGCAGAGGUUGCAGUGAGCCGAGUUCGUGCCAUGGCACUCCAGCCUGGGCGACAGAGAAAAAAAAAAAAAGUCUCUGUCUCAAAAAAAAAGAAAAGAAAAGAAAAGGAUGGAUGUGUAGCCUCGGAUGUCUAAGGGCAUCACAAACCUAUUAUUGCUGAAUCUCUGGUGACUGAACACAACUUAUCCCUCUAGGAAGGUAGGGAUGCCAACUGUUGAGGGGUUGUGCAACUAGUUAGCAUCCGAGAGUCUUAUUUGUUAUCAGAAUUAACCAGAGAAAUCACUCCAGCAACCAAGAGCCAGUAAGUGUGUCCUACAACCAGCUCCAGAGACUGUACAAUUCGGAAGGUAUUCUCAGACUAAUGUCCUUUGGGUAAACUUUGCCCAGGUCACCAUUUCUUUUUUGUUUUUGUUUUUGUUUUUUGAGACAGAGUUUUACUCUUGUUGCCUGCUGAAGUGCAAUAGGACAAUCUCAGCUCAGCUGCAACCUCCACCUCCCGGGUUCAAGUGAUUCUCAUGCCUCAGCCUCCUGAGUAGCUGGGAUUACAGGUGCCUGCUACCAUGUCCGGCUAAUUUUUGUAUUUUUGAUAGAGACAGGGUUUCACCAUGUUGGCCAGGUUAGUCUCGAACUCCUGACCUCAGGUGAUCCACCCACCUCUGGCUCCCAAAGUGUUGGGAUUACAGGCAUGAGCCACCACGCCCGGCCCCAGGUCACCAUUUCAAAGCCUUGAAAAGGAUUUCUUUGGUUUUGUCUAUGUCCUUGCAAACUGCUUUGUUUCAUUUCUUCUGCUCAGUAUCAGGGGGCUUUCUCUGGCUUCUGAUCAGCGAUGGUGUUUGGCCACAUUCUAGAGAUACGAAGUUGUAUAAGCACCAUUCUUUUAGACCCCAGUCACAACUAAAAUUGGGCCAAAGACCUGCUCCCUUCAUGUUUUCUCACGAUUGCAAUAACUUGUACCCAUAUAUCUGUAACUGACACAAUUUCACCAGGGACAGUUUGUAAUUGCCGUAGCCAUUUGGUGGAACUUUUGAUAAUAACAAGAUUUUUCAUUUGGGAGGUGCCUCAGAACACAAAGGGAAGAAACCUUUGUGAGAUUGUUUGCCUUGUUUGUUAAAAACAAAGAUUAUUUUGUUUAACAUAGGCAAUAUUUCAUUUACCUAUUUUGCAUAUUAAUAAAUGCUGUCGGCCAGGCACAGUGGCUGACACCUGUAAUCCCAGCACUUUGGGAGGCUGAGGCCGGCGAAUCACUUGAGGUCAGGAGUUUGAGACCAGCCUGGCCAACAUGGUGAAACCCCAUCUCUACUAAAUAUACAAAAAUCAGCCAGGCUUGGUGGUGCGUGCCUGUAAUCCCAGCUACUUUGGAGGCUGAGGCAGGAGAAUUGUUUGAGUCCAUGAAGUAGAGGCUACAGUGAACUGAGAUCGUGCCAUUGUACUCCAGCCUGGGCAACAAGAGCAAAACUCCAUCUAAAAAAAAAAGAAGGCCCUCACCAGAUGUGGCUGCUUGACUUUGGAAUUCCCACCCUCCAGAACUGUAAGAAAUAAAUUUUUAAAAAUAAAGUACCCAGCCCCUCAGGUAUUCUAUUGCAACACAGAAUGGACUAAGACAGUGUUUAUAUGUCAAAAUCUAUUUUCCUGUGUUUAAACUGUCUUCCUUCUCCUUGCAGAGGGAAUAUAACCUUAGCCUUUUGGAGUGAUAAUUUCAUGUUUGUCUGAAGUAGCUUCUUCUCACAUUUUCUUUUCUUUUUUUUUUUUCUGUUCAAAGUGCUUUUAUUUCUAGGAAUUUAGUUUUAUUUUUAAUUUUUUAAUUAUUAUACUUUAAGUUUUAGGGUACAUUUGCACAACGUGCAGGUUUGUUACAUAUGUAUACAUGUGCCAUGUUGGUGUGCUGCACCCAUUAACUCGUUAUUUAGCAUUAGGUAUAUCUCCUAAUGCUAUCCCUCCCCCCUCCCCCCACCCCACAACAGUCCCUGGUGUGUAAUGUUUCUCUUUCUGUGUCCAUGUGUUCUCAUUGUUCAAUUCCCACCUAUGAGUGAGAACAUGCGGUGUUUGGUUUUUUGUCCUUGCCAUAGUUUGCUGAGAAUGAUGGUUUCCAGCUUCAUCCAUGUCUCUACGAAGGACAUGAAUUCAUCAUUUUUUAUGGCUGCAUAGUAUUCCAUGGUGUAUAUGUGCCACAUUUUCUUAAUCCAGUCUAUCAUUGUUGGACAUUUGGCUUGGUUCCAAGUCUUUGCUAUUGUGAAUGGUGCCACAAUAAACAUAUGUGUGCAUGUGUCUUUAUAGCAGCAUGAUUUAUAAUCCUUUGGGUAUAUACCCAGUAAUGGAAUGGCCGGGUCAAAUGGUAUUUCUAGUUCUAGAUCACUGAGGAAUCACCACACCGGCUUCCACAAUGGUUGAAGUAGUUUACAGUCCCACCAACAGUGUAAAAGUGUUCCUAUUUCUCCACAUCCUCUCCAGCACCUGUUGUUUCCUGACUUUUUAAUGAUUGCCAUUCUAACUGGUGUGAGAUGGUAUCUCAUUGUCUUCUCACAUUUUCCUGCUGUCCAUUUCAUUCUCUUUUUCCUCACCUCUCUUGGAAAGCUUUAAAGAUUAACUAAUCAAAAAAUUUUUCAGUUGUAUGUGCACAGUCUAGGUAAAUCCAGUCCUAAAAGAAAUAGAAAUGCCUAAAAUGCUAAAAGAAACAGAAAAUCAUAUAUAUAUACGUAUAUACAUGUAUAUCAAGAUCAGCCUGGGUAACAUGUGAGACCCUGUCUAUACAAAAAAAAAAUACAUGUAUAUACGUAUAUAUAUAUAGUGUGUGUACAUAUAGGCACUAAAAAGUAUAUUUAUGUAAUAGCCUUUGCUCUUCCAGUUAGAAGAAAAGAUCUAUCACGCCUGUAGUCCCAGCACUUUGGGGGGCCGAGGAGGGCGGAUCACGAGGUCAGGAGAUCGAGACCAUCCUGGCUAACACGGUGAA